rnacentral:rRNA from 1 species
UACGUAGGGUGCGAGCGUUGCCCGGAUUUAUUGGGCGUAAAGGGCGCGUAGGCGGCUCGGCACGUCCGUUGUGAAAUCGCCCGGCUCAACUGGGCGGGGUCAGCGGAUACGGUCGAGCUUGAGCAAGCUAGGGGGUAAUGGAAUUCCCGGUGUAGUGGUGGAAUGCGUAGAUAUCGGGAGGAACACCAGUGGCGAAGGCGACACGCUGGGCCGUACCUGACACUAAAACGCGACAGCAUGGGGAGCGAACGGG